rnacentral:rRNA from 1 species
UACGUAGGGGGCUAGCGUUGUCCGGAAUCAUUGGGCGUAAAGAGCUCGUAGGCGGCUCGUCGCGUCGACCGUGAAAACCCGCAGCUUAACUGCGGGCUUGCGGUUGAUACGGGCGGGCUAGAGUUCGGUAGGGGAGACUGGAAUUCCUGGUGUAGCGGUGAAAUGCGCAGAUAUCAGGAGGAACACCGGUGGCGAAGGCGGGUCUCUGGGCCGAUACUGACGCUGAGGAGCGAAAGCGUGGGGAGCGAACAGG